CGGGAUAUGGCGCAGUUUGGUAGCGCGCCUGCUUUGGGAGCAGGAGGUCGGGGGUUCAAGUCCCCCUGUUCCGA
rnacentral:tRNA from 2 species